rnacentral:rRNA from 1 species
AAACGGGGUCUAAUACCGGAUAACACUCUGUCCCGCAUGGGACGGGGUUAAAAGCUCCGGCGGUGAAGGAUGAGCCCGCGGCCUAUCACCUUGUUGGUGGGGUAAUGGCCUACCAAGGCGACGACGGGUAGCCGGCCUGAGAGGGCGACCGGCCACACUGGGACUGAGACACGGCCCAGACUCCUACGGGAGGCAGCAGUGGGGAAUAUUGCACAAUGGGCGAAAGCCUGAUGCAGCGACGCCGCGUGAGGGAUGACGGCCUUCGGGUUGUAAACCUCUUUCAGCAGGGAAGAAGCGAAAGUGACGGUACCUGCAGAAGAAGCGCCGGCUAACUACGUGCCAGCAGCCGCGGUAAUACGUAGGGCGCAAGCGUUGUCCGGAAUUAUUGGGCGUAAAGAGCUCGUAGGCGGCUUGUCACGUCGGAUGUGAAAGCCCGGGGCUUAACCCCGGGUCUGCAUUCGAUACGGGCUAGCUAGAGUGUGGUAGGGGAGAUCGGAAUUCCUGGUGUAGCGGUGAAAUGCGCAGAUAUCAGGAGGAACACCGGUGGCGAAGGCGGAUCUCUGGGCCAUUACUGACGCUGAGGAGCGAAAGCGUGG